GUGAGGAAUAUUGCGCAAUGGAGGCAACUCUGACGCAGCCAUGCCGCGUGCAGGAAGAAGGCGCUACGCGUUGUAAACUGCUUUUAACCGGGAAGAAACCCCAGGACGUGUCCUGGGUUGACGGUACCGGAGGAAUAAGCACCGGCUAACUUCGUGCCAGCAGCCGCGGUAAUACGAAGGGUGCAAGCGUUAUCCGGAUUCAUUGGGUUUAAAGGGUGCGUAGGCGGAGCGUUAAGUCAGUGGUGAAAUCCUGCAGCUUAAAUGUAGACUUGCCAUUGAUACUGGCGCUCUUGAGUGCGCUUGAAGUGGGCGGAAUGUGCCGUGUAGCGGUGAAAUGCUUAGAUAUGGCACAGAACACCAAUUGCGAAGGCAGCUCACUAAGGCGAUACUGACGCUGAGGCACGAAAGCGUGGGGAUCGAACAGGAUUAGAAACCCUAGUAGUCC
rnacentral:rRNA from 1 species